rnacentral:rRNA from 1 species
UACGUAGGGUGCGAGCGUUAAUCGGAAUUACUGGGCGUAAAGCGUGCGCAGGCGGUUGUGUAAGACAGGUGUGAAAUCCCCGGGCUUAACCUGGGAACUGCGCUUGUGACUGCACAGCUAGAGUAUGGCAGAGGGGGGUGGAAGUUCCACGUGUAGCAGUGAAAUGCGUAGAGAUGUGGAGGAACACCGGAUGGCGAAGGCAGCCCCCCUGGGCCAAUACUGACGCUCAUGCACGAA